UGAUCAUCAACAGAGAGAAUGUAUGUUUAGAUUCUAAAGACUGAUCCUGCAGUCUGGCCCAAACUAUCUUUUUUUUUUAUGGGAGUGUUUUCCGAAUAAGGACUGCAGUAACUUUUUAUUAACCCAGUAACUUAACUUCUUGUUUUGAAUUGUGUAGACUGAGACGGUAUAAUUAUAACUACUGGUUGGUUUGGGUGGAAAUCACUGUUUUGAACUUUUUGUUGUCAUUCUCUGUACCUACAUGUACAUUAUUUGGAAUACUGAAUAGACGAGUCCUAAAUCUGCUUGUCAUAUAGUUCAGUUUACCAUGUUGCUUUAUGAAUAAUGUACUGCCUAAAUGGCUCUUAUUUAAAGUAUGUGAUGUUUGUAUUGUGCACUCCAAAUAUCUGUGCUCAGAAUGAUUGUCACAAACAGUAGCUGAUGCAUCCAAGACUACAUUACAUGGGCAUAUUUCUCUGCAAUUAAAUGCAAAACCUACAUUUUCUGCUCUAAGAGCAGUUCCAUAUACCACACAAACUGGGCUGAGCUUCAGUCCUGUAACUUUGUCAUUACUUGCAUCAGUCACAAGAUUUUAAAAAAAUCUUUAGAAUAUAAAGAGAAGACUCACUGCAAAUUCUUUAUGAGAAACUUUUAGUGAAACUACGCCGCAAUGUGUCUACAUAGUCAUAGUGUCUUCUGGCCACUUAAGUCAAAAAUAUCUCUUCCAUCUCUUUGUGGUUAAACAUGGUACUGUUAGAAAUGUAGAGUUUCCUUGACCUCCUGGUUAACCUGAUAGAAGCUGCUUUCCCACAGCUCUUUUUGAAUUAGCGUGUCCAUCCAACAGGAGAAUGACCUUUUUGCUUCAUACGCACAGAAAUAUUAGAGACUGUGUAGGGGGAGAGGGGUUUAACCUCAUGGGCAGCAAUGAUAGCCUUCAAGUGCAUGUAGGAAUGGGAAAGAACCACCACCAGCAGAAAGGAGGGAGUGGGGCAACCAAACAACAAACAAAAAAAUCAAGCAAAAAGAGGAAGUACUUACCAAAAACUCUAGGUGUGGAUACAGAUGGAAAGAAAUGGCAGGAACUAUACUGAGAGAUGAGUUUGGAAAUCCCCAUAUUCCAUUGCGAUCGAUUCCCAAUCUCAGGAGCCUGGGGACCACUAGUACCCUACUGUCAUAUGAGCAGAUCAGAUCUAAAGUCACUAGGGACUCUGCAUACAAAUGUAUUUCUUUACGGGAGAGAAGAAAAAAGCUGUCAAACCAGACAUUUCACUGGGUUUUUAUUCUUGUUUAAUUAUCAAGGUUGAGUUCUUCUGCAUGACUUUUACACUGAUAGCUGUAUGUGCCGCGUACUCUGAUACCUCAAACAUUGUCUGUUCUGUCAUGGAAAUGUGAACACAGUCUUGAUGGGUUUUUUUGUUUGUUUUAAAGAACAUUAAUAUAAGUACUUUUGAAAUUAAA